GAAUGAGAGAGAGAGAGAGAGAGAGAGAGAGAGAGAGAGAGAGAGAGACGGACAGAAAGACAGACCUUGUUGGAGGGUUUGGGAGAGGCCAACGCAGGUGGGAUAUUUGGAUUUGGAUUUCUGUGUGGAUGAGUAAUAGAGGCAACCCUUGCAUGACUUUCCCUUCGCUGAGCCAUUGCUGAGAUUAGGGUUAGGGUUUGGAAUUUUGAUACCUCCUCCAUCUGCGUCUUCGCCUUCCUUAUCCAUCUCUCUAUAAGAAUUAAAGAUUUAUUAGAAUUUUAGAUUAUUAUCUCUCUCUCUCUCUCUCUCUCUCUCUCUCUCUCUCUCUCUGACUCAAUGG
rnacentral:miRNA from 1 species